UCUCUUCCCAGCAGGACUCUAGAGCAGUUAACGUGGAGCUUACAAAGGCUUUUAACCCUUUAAUAUGAUUAUUAGAGCUGACUGUGGCAGGAACCCUAAAACUCCUGUUUCCCGAAGGCAAAGACCCUUUUUACCACCACAUGGUUAAAAGGCCAAGCUCCCAAGGACCCCAAACAAGGUGGAGACUCUGUUCCGUUUUCUGUUUGUUUCAGGGAACUGCAGCCAAGUUUGUCACCGGCCAGCUUGCGGGGUCGUCUUGAAAAUGAGGGUUACAGCACAACGUGACAAUCAGGAAAGUGACCUCAGUACAAUGUGCCCCGAGUUCCAGGAAGUCCACACCCGUGGACUCCUGCAGCCACCACCCCAUGCGCCAUGCAGAGCCCCUUCUGUCGCCGCAGACACUCCCCUGUGCUACGCCCUCGUGGACACGGCUGCCCUCCGCCGCGCACCACCAACUCCGGUAACUUCCAAACUGCCCUCCAUCACCACAGUCUGUCAUGGUGGGAAGGUCACUUACAUGGAGCCACAGUUUGUGGCGUUUGAGACGGACACUUUUCCCUCGGCAUAAGGCUCCUGAGACCCUGUCAAGGUUACCUAUGGAUAUCCAGUUCAGCACAAUUGUUGAAACAACUCUCCUUCCUCCAUUAAAUUGCUUUUUACCUCUGCCAAGUAUCCCCUGGCUGCCCUGGAGUGGCUGUUGUGAGGCUCUGUUCCGUUCCAGCCAUCGAUGUGUCUGUUCCCCUGAUGGGACCACGGUCUUCACUAUGGAAGCCACACAGGAAGUCUUGAAACCAGAUAGAACAAUUUCUUCCAUUUUUAAAAAAGCUGCUUUAACUAUUCUAGUUCCUUUGCCUUUUCAUACACAUUUUAGAAUAAUCUCGUCCGUAUCUAGAGCAGCUCUUGCUGGGCUUUUGGUAGGCAUUGCAUGAAAAGCAUGUCACGUUGGGGGAGCUGACGUCCUUACGCAGCUGGGCCUUCCGAUUCACUCAGUCUGGACCUCGGUCGGUCACGGUUUUUCUUUUGCUGAUUUCAACAGCAUUUUAUAAGAUUCGACGUCUGGACACUGCACACGUUCUUUUAUGUUUAUGCUUAAGCAUGUCAUUUCCUUUGCAGUAACUGCGAAAAGUGUGCCUUUCACUUCUAUUUCCUCGUGUUCACUGUCAGUAUAUAAAACAUAAUUGAGUUUUGUGUGUUAAUCUUGGGUCCUGUGACGUCGCUGAACUUGUUAGCUCUGAGGAUGUUUCCUGUGGAUUCACCGAAGCAGCAGUUCUGCCCGCACGCCUCCCGCGCCUACUCUCCCGCGGAGAUUGUGGAAAACUGGCUGAUUUGUUGCAGUGUUGUUGGAAAGGGCCCAAGACAGAAAACUGCCAACAUGUCCAUCGGUGGGACACUCGUUAAAGAAAUCACCCUCAGCCCGCGCGACGGGCAGCAGUUAAAGUUCUCCAAGCUGUGCUUUAAGGGACCCAUGUACAUAACGUGUGAAAUUGGGAGCAAAAUUGAAAACAAAUUAGACUCCGCAUGCGGAUGAGAUUGCAUUCCCAUAAAGGAACCUGGCACAGGUGAGAAGUCAGUAGGCCUGACCACUGGUGGCAGCUGUCCCGGAGAGUGCCUUUAUUCCACCAUUCAGAGCGUUAAGUCACCUGAGACAGGAAGGACGGAAGCCCCUGCUUGCAGGCCAGGCCCCCGCAGCCCUCCCAUGACCUGUCCCGUCUCUGGACACAGCCUGCCCUCCCCUUGCAGUCCUGGCCCCUCCCCAUUCCACCUCCUGUGGGGAGCAGCGGUUCCCAAUCCACCAGAACGUGGCCCUUCCUAGCUGUCCUGAAGCCUCCUUGUUGCUCCUUGGAAGACCCAGACCAAAAAAUCAAAGGAGCACCCUGGCUGCCUUCUGGAAUGUUCCAGAGCUCUCUGAAUGUGACUUCUUUCUGAGAUGGUCCCCAGAGCUCUUGGGGGCCCACAGCUUCCCUCUUGGAGUUUUGGGGGUGGCACCCCACAAGUUCCCACCCCUGGACUCCUAGGUCAGGCCUCCUCCCUGACGGCAGCCCACACGGGGUGAAGGUGCAGGCAGGGCAGGGGCCUGGUACCACCCUCGGACCCUGGUCAGAGGUCACAGGUGGGGCUUUCACCUGUGGCACCUUCCAGGUGGGGACUUCCUCCUGAGGCCCGGCCUCAGGGUGACACCUGCUCUCAGGAAGGGUCUCUUGAUCCGGGAUGAGGGGUGGCGUUCUCUCUUCUGGGAGCUCCUAAAUCAGGGAUAUGGGUCAAUGAAAAUGAAAGAAACACUGUGUUCUAUUUUUUCCCCCAAAAUACAGAUUUGUUGCCCAUGUGACCGUAAAACAUGAACCAGAUGAUGAGCCUCCCUUUGUUAAAGUCCCCAGCGGCCUCUGCCUGUCCCGACAGCCUUGCCUGUGUCUGUUCUCUUUCAAAGGCCUGAAGUCAUCCUGUGGCCUUGGCACUAGCAGGGGAGUGUGACGUCGCUGUGCGCAGGGAGGCCGGUGCAGCCCCCACAGACGAAAAGCAAACCCUUGGGCCCCUGGACCUGGGCCUGCGGCAGAAGAGGCUCGGGCUGGGAGCGGCCGUGGGGGACUGGCCCAGGGAGAAGCCCGUGGGGUGGGGAGUGCGCCAGACGCAAAGCCAGAGUCCCACAGAGUCCCAGGGCUCUCGCUGCCUGUGUUAGAGUCUAAUCUGCCCAUUGAGGGGCUUUCAAGUCCUCUCCUGUGAGGGUGUAAGGAAGGGGGUCCCUGAUGGCCUCCCAGAGCCCUGCUGCAUCAGACAGGGUGCCCAGGUAAAGUCGAAUUUCAUACAAACAACAAAUAAUCUUUAGUACAAUCAUGUCUCAUGCAAUAUUUUAGAAAUUCAAAAUUAAUGUGGAGUGUCCUGUGUUUCUUCACUUUUGGCAACCCUUUCUCUGCCUCUGCACCUGGGACAGGCCCACAGCCCGUCCAGUGAGUGGCGAAGGAGUCCCUCAGGGUUCCCCUGCCAGCUGCCGCUCCCGAGCGUCACAGAGUGUCACCUUGCAGCUGGAGCUCUCUGCUUUGCUCUGGGGUGCACAGCACAGCCGGGCCACUGUGGGGAUGGUGUGGCCACAUCUACCCAAGCUCAACAGGUGCCUUCUGUGUCCGGCAAUUCCGCCCCUAGGUCCACAGCCAGGGGAGGUGCAAGUGUGUGUCCACAAAGAGACUUUUGUGUGUUCAUUCCCAAUCUGGAAAUGACACAGCUGCCCACUGACGGAAGACAAGAUAGGUAAAUAAGUUGUGGAUAUUCAGCAAAUGCAAUAACCUCAGCAACAGAACAAGAACACAGCGCUGACAAGCCCAGGGCAGACGCAGCGUGCAGAGAGGACGCGGAGCCUGUGGGAGUGCACCCUGUGUGAUUCCAUCCAUGCGUGUGCGUCCACACAGACAAAUUCAGAAGCGGAGAGGACCAUUAGCCAGCAGUGGAAGGCAGACGGCGGCGGCUUCAGCUGGGGAAGGCACAGGGGACGCAGGACGGAUCGCUUGGUGGACUCGUGCGCAAGAACUCGAGGCAAUGCGGCUGGACUGUGGCGAAGACAGAGCUCCAGGAAGGUCAGGGCUGCCUGGAUGGGUGACUGGGAGUCAAGGGGAACCUGGGAGAUGGUGGCUCCCAUGAAGGAGACAGAGAGGAGCUUCCUAGCUGUGCAGGAGAAGCUGAGGCAUACAGUGUGCUGCUGUGGCUUCAGGGCCCGUGGGCAGUGGUCUGGUGGCUGCCUCUCACUCCCCACCCCCAGCCACCCCCUCAGCCACAGGGAGAGGGACAGAUUCUACUGCCGUGUCAAUGGCUCCACUGCCUGGCCUGACUCUUCGGUGGCACUCCCAGGGUCCAGAGUCCUCUGGGUGUGUGCUCAUGCUCGGAUGCAUAGCUGGGAGCCUGAGAAUUAAGUGGCGUGCAGCCAGGGCUACUCAGCUCAGGUCCCGGCUGGUCCUGUGGAGAGACUGUGACUCACCGGCUACUGGGGUGACUCAGUGGCCAAGGCUGUGCAUUGUCAUAACUGUCAUGAAACCUCUGACGCUGCUCGGCCAUGCCGUUGGAAGACUCCAGUGCGUCAGACUGAAAGAACUCACCUGGAGUUCAGGCACUCUGGAUUUGGGUUUUCCUCUGUAGUCAGAGCAAAGGAAUGAUAGCUUCAAAGAAGGCAGCAUGACUAGAGUUUGACAUUAUUUAGUGGGAAUUGGAGCACCCGUGAAGGCUUUGAGCCAGGAGUGGGCUGAGCGAGUGUGGCUUGUAGGGUCAGUGUCUGCAGCUGGGAACGGUGGUGCAGAGCAGUGGGAGUAGGUGGCAUCACUGGCCGGGGCAAGACCUGCACUGAGGUGAGGCAGCAGGAACAGAGCAUACGGGGGAGAUUCUGGGUGGGCAGAACUUGAGAGAACAACUGGAUGUACAGAGAAGGAGAUAAGGAAUCAAAUGGUUGCAGGGAUGUUUGGCUACGUGGGUGUUCUUGCUUGUACAGGACGUGGGGAUGCAGGUUUUGGUAAGGACAGUCUCAGGGCAAAGAGAGCAGCUAAGUGGGCAAGUCUUCAGGACGUACAUCCCAGCUCUACCAGUUCUAAUCCCAGCUCUGCCACUUGCUAGUUGUGUGGCCUUGGGCAAGCUAUUUAACUUCUCUGUUCCUCAACAUCAUUCCUAUCUGUAAUUUGGGUCUCACAAUAGCACCUACCUCUUAAGGUAUGUGGGAGGCAUUUGAAGGCAUAAGUAGCCUUCGAGCAGAGUCAGACAAAGGAACAUUAUGGAUGGAACCUGUCUGACACUAUCACUUUGUGGAGUCACAGCCAAAGAGCAGGUAACACUGCAAACCUCAGUGGUGUCUCCAGGGAAAGACAUACAAAAGGAAAAGUGGCUCAGGUUGCUGGGAAGAGUGUCCUGGGUUGAGGCAGAAGGGCAAAAGAAAGUGUAUAAAGGUGGCAAACAGGUGGGUUCUGACAAGGUCACAGAGCUAGAACAGGACAGAAAUAAUGCAGGUCUGGAGACAUCACACAGCCAGCAGGGAUGGAAGUACGGGAUGGGCUUGGGAGUCUCAUGAUUCUGGGUAAGUCAUUCGUGUCGUUUCUGGGCUCAGCACAUUCAGGCAGUUAUCAAAUCCCCGCAUUCCCCUCAUAUGAGUCCUGUGAUUCCUACUCCACUGAUGAGGUGAGUGAGGCACACAGAUGACUAACAUGGCCAUGGUCAUGCGGUGAGUAAGGGCUGGAGCUGAGAGUCAGGCCCAACUGUGUAGGAUUCAGAAGGUUGGGACUUUAAUCACAGCUUGUUACUGACUCAUGGCAGGAAAAACUUCAACACACUCUCCUCCAUUUCCUUCACCAUCACUACUGCUAGCAAAACAACCACUGCCACUGUUAUCCCCACCAAUAGCACCAUCAUCAGCACCAUCAUUACCCCAUAUCACCAUCCCCAUCACCACCACCAUCAUCAUCAUCAUAACCGCCAUCACCAUCAACACCAUCACUACC